rnacentral:rRNA from 1 species
ACAGAGGGCGCGAGCGUUGUUCGGAAUUACUGGGCGUAAAGCGCACGCAGGCGGCCCUUUAAGUCCACUGGUGAAAGACCGGGGCUCAACCCCGUGUCAGCCAGGGAUACUGGAGGGCUGGAGACACGUAGAGGCAGACGGAAUUCCGGGUGUAGCGGUGGAAUGCGUAGAGAUCCGGAGGAAGACCGGUGGCGAAGGCGGUCUGCUGGGCAGUUUCUGACACUGAGGCGCGACAGCGUGGGGAGCAAACAGGA